AAUUUUUUAGGCAGCCGAGACCGGCGGCCCGGCCCACUCGGAAGGCGUGGGCAAUAGCACACAAAAAUAUGGUAAUCGAGCGGAAUUCUAAUUAUUUGGCCGAAAAACGCAGUAAAUGAGGAACGAUCAUGGCGGGGUGGUGACUAUGGUUCCUUAGGUCAUAUUUGAUGGCCCAGAAAAAUUUUAGGCGAUCGGGGUCCACGGCUCCCGGGACCACUCGGAAGGCGUAUGCUAUAGCACACGAAAAUAUGCAUAUCGCGCGGAGUUCUAGUUUUUUGGCUGAUAAAUGCAAAGCAUUAUGAACGAUCAUGGCUGGGCGGUGACUAUGGUUCCUUAGGUCGUAUUUGAUAGUCCAUAAAAAUUUUAGGCGAUAGGGGUCCGGAGUUCCCGAGUUCACUUGGAUGGCGUGGGCUAUAGGACACGAAAAUAUGGGAAUCGCGCGGAAUUCUAGUCUUUUCGCCGAAAAAUGGAAAAAACUAGGAACGAUCAUGGCUGGGCGGUGACUAUGGUUCUUUAGGUCUUAUUUGAUAGUCCGAAAAAUUUUUAGGCGAUCGGGGU
rnacentral:lncRNA from 1 species